rnacentral:rRNA from 1 species
UGUAAGCGUAUACCAAAGUUGUUGCAGUUAAAACGCUCGUAGUCGGAAUUUGGCAGUUCCGGAUGUGUGCACGUCGUGUGCGCACUUCGCGGGGAUUGCUUUUGUGGUCUUGCGUAGGAUGAGGCACUUUUAUUAGUGAACGUCCUCACGCAACCACUUUUUACUGUGAGAAAAUCAGAGUGCUCCAAGCAGGCAUUUGCCGUGAAUGUAUUAGCAUGGAAUAAUAGAAUAGGACUUGGUUCUAUUUUGUUGGUUUGUUGGGACUGAGUAAUGAUUAAGAGGGACAGUUGGGGGCAUUUGUAUUUCGGUGCUAGAGGUGAAAUUCUUAGAUUACCGAAAGACAAACUGCUGCGAAAGCGUCUGCCAAGGAUGUUUUCAUUGA